rnacentral:lncRNA from 1 species
UGUGCAACUCAGAGCAGAGGAGCUGUGGCAGGCGACGAGGCUGGAGGGGGUUGAGGCAGUGCCAUCCUCAGGGUGUUGGUCCCCAGGACACCCCUGUCACAGCUCACCUGCAAGCAGCCUCACAGCCCCUCUUCUUCUCUUCCCUUUUCCAGCACAUGGUGUGUUGCAUGAAAAUGUGAUUUUGGAAAUUGGUUUAAGAUCAGAAAACUGCCUAUGUUUGAGAAAUUAUGAGCUUUUUGGAGAAGGAAUUGUAUUAUUUGCUGCUGUGCUGAAGGUUUUAUGGGGAUAUAUAAAGUGUGAAUGGCAUGCCAAGAGUUAGCAACUGCUUCACAUAGAUGUAGCAUUUGGAUACACUCUGGAGGAGCAAGACUAUCAGAAUGAACCUUUAAAGAACAAAAGCUACAGGGUGGACAAACUUCCACAUAUCUUUACCAAUACUCAGGUGCUCAAAGGAUAUUCUCCUGCCCACAUGCCGAGUGCACAGGCAGCAGGGACUUCCAGAACUUGAUGCCUAACCUCCCUUCUCUGGGUCUUGAAAACAUGAAAGGCAUUAAGAGUGAGUUCAUUCAAUCUCAGUCAAUAACAUAAGUUUGUAACACUCAUGUGUAACACUCCUCUCUGUGUGUGCAUUUGUGUUCUGGGAUAUUUUGGGAGGAUGCCUGUACUUUGCUUUCUUUGCCUUCAUACGUGACUAGAGUACGUAGAUUAUGACUGCUGACUCUUGACUGCAUCAGCCCCUGUAGCCACAUUUUCAUUAUAUCUGCA